AAAUGUUCUCGACACGCCCAUUUUACCAAGGAUGCAUCGGAUGCUAACUUGUGUUAACUCGGCAGCGAAUAUAUCCCAGCAUUCAUUUCGGCAUUCAAGCGAGGAGCGGAAAAUUACUCGACGCCAUUGAACAACGGGUCACGGAGGUAACAGCUCCAGCAGAGAGCUCCACACUUCUCUUUCCCUGGCCACAUCCACCAGCUCUGACUGGGGGAUUCCAAGGCGCUCCCAGGCCAGCGAAGAGAUAUAAUCCCUCCACCUGGUCCUAGGUCUACCCCUCGGUCUCUUCCCAGGUGCAGCUCGUGUGAACCUCGUCUGAGCCUCGUUGCAGCAACGCAGCACACCUGGGCAGAGACAUCAGAGGGGAGAGACACAGGGAAUACAAACCGCCGUAACCAACAUGGAUGUUUUGUUUAAACCUCAUGCUAUGAUGUUCAGUGUUUUACAUUUGGUCAGUUUUCAGUACUCUGAAGCCUCCUUGUUGUCUGGUCUGCUCCUGUCUGACCUGAUCAUGUUUGUUUUACUUCCUGUAUCCGUUUUAAAUUAAAAGCACUCUAGCUUUUCAGUGUAGCUAUUUAACAAAAAACAGGGCUGUUUAAUUUUGGUUAUACACCAUCUGGUGUUUCAAUAAAUACAUGUUUUAUAGCCCAACUUCUCCUCAGUACAGUACCAGCUUACUCCUUUGUUUACAACACAAAGCUUUAACACAGUAGAAAACAAUCACAGAAAGGUUUUACGCACCAUGGAGUCAAAACCUUUAAGAAAUAAAAUCAAAUGAUAAAGCUUC